rnacentral:lncRNA from 1 species
GCACAACGUGGAGCUGGAGAGACUUGGCAGAAUGUUGGUGUGAUCUGUGCAUCAAGAAAGAACUGGAACAAGGUGAAUAGAACUGGAUGACAGUCAAAGAGAUGAAUGCAGACGUGACAAGCCCAAGUAAAGCAUUAUGUUGAGAAGUUUGAGGAACACCAAAAGCAUUCCAGCAGCACCUCUGUUGCAGUCCCCAGUUGGGUGAGCUCAUCCGCACAACUGAAACUAUGAUCCAGGAUAGAGAGAACCUUAAGUCAACAGCAGUCUGGAGCGGUUUCCAUUUUCCGCAAGAGGUGAUGCAAGCCUGGUCCGGCCAUGAAGGUCGGAUCAAACACGUGGACUUCAAACAAAACCUGUUCGCUGGUUCUUGGCAGGAGAGUGAACUUCUUGACUGGACUCACCUGCGUUGGCCCCUAUUGCUCCUGCAUAAGAAAUGUAAAGAAACUCUUUCAGAAGCUUGCAUUUUCAUAAGUAUAUAUGUUAAUAAUUAUUGAUUUUCUAGGUAACUUUCUUUUUUAAAUUUAUUUAUUUAUAUUUCUAUCUUGCCCUAUUCCUGAAGGUCUUAGAGUAGGUCUCAAUAAGAUUUUUGCAUGAAGGUUAAACCAAUAAUAUCGUCUCUAUCCUGUGGCUAAGAGAAUCUUCAUUUCUUCUGUCUGUCUUUCGUUCCUUUGAAAGCCCCAAAACUUUCCCAGAAGCCUUUGUUCUUCACCAUUUCCUUCCCAAUAUCUCUUUUCAUCUUUUUUGCCAGGCUCAUUAGCUGUUAAUUGCAAGUUUUAAACAAAAUGAAACAAAGAUAGCUUUCGCCACAUGCAAGGAACCAGUCCAAUAGUGUUGAUGUAAAGAGUCAGCCGUGGACAGAAGGGAAACAAAAUGGAUUUUCUACUCUAAUUGCUCUCCGUUAUUAUUAUUUUUCCCCUGUUUUUCUCUCUGCUUUUCCCGUCUGGUGCUUACUAAAUAAUUAAUAUGAUAACCACAUUGCAUGUAUACCACACCGCAUGGACCUAGCAGAAGUAAAACUCACAUUGAAUUGACAAAGGAAAAACGUAUAAAAAGGGGACUGUGGUGUGGAGAUUCUGAAAGUUAUUCAGAGAACUUGACCAGUGUUCGUUCUAAAGCAAAAGCCCUGCAAAGCUUUUAUUUCAAAUCCAAUAAGAAGGACUCAUAGAAUAGCUUGCAGGAGUUACUAUUAAUUUCCGUGUGUGCUUUGGCUAUGGCUUGUGAGAGCUGUAAUUCAAAAAGGAAAGUUUUAAAACCCUACCUAGUUCAUUAAAAGACUGUUUUGGGUAUGCAGAUGAAUCUCACCUAUUGUUCAAGGAGAUACAGCUGACAGUUUUCUUCUGGGGUUGUGUUUUCUGGGAGAGUUUGAAGUUUGUGAUAAGCCUUGGAAGAAGAGAAGAGAGUUGUGGUUUUAGAAAUUUACAUCUCUCUUUCUCUUUU